rnacentral:rRNA from 1 species
UACGUAGGGUGCGAGCGUUGUCCGGAAUUACUGGGCGUAAAGAGCUCGUAGGUGGUCUCGCAAGUCGGGUGUGAAAGCCCAGGGCUCAACCCUGGAAGUGCAUUCGAUACUGCGAGGCUAGAGUCCCGGAGAGGAUGGUGGAACUCUCGGUGUAGAGGUGAAAUUCGUAGAUAUCGAGAAGAACACCGGUGGCGAAGGCGGCCAUCUGGACGGUGACUGACGCUGAGACGCGAAAGCGUGGGGAGCAAACAGG